rnacentral:rRNA from 1 species
AUUGAACGCUGGCGGCAGGCCUAACACAUGCAAGUCGAGCGAGCGGCGGACGGGUGAGUAAUGUAUGGGGACUGCCCGAUAGAGGGGGAUAACUACUGGAAACGGUGGCUAAUACCGCAUACUAUCGGAUAACCCAUAUGGGAUUAGCUAGUAGGUGGGGUAAAGGCGCACCUAGGCGACGAUCUCUAGCUGGUCUGAGAGGAUGACCAGCCAAAAGGGGAAGUAGACCAGGCCCAGAGUCGUUCGGAGGGAGCAGUGGGGAAUAUUGCACAAAGGGCGCAAGCCUGAUGCAGCCAUGCCGGGUGGAUGAAGAAGGCCUUAGGGGUGUAAAGUACUUUCAGCGGGGAGGCGUUACCCGCAGAAGAAGCACCGGCUAAAUCCGGGCCAGCAGCCGCGGUAAUUC